ACGGAAGGCAGCAGUGGGGAAUAUUGCACAAUGGGCGAAAGCCUGAUGCAGCGACGCCGCGUGAGUGAAGAAGUAUCUCGGUAUGUAAAGCUCUAUCAGCAGGGAAGAAAAUGACGGUACCUGACUAAGAAGCCCCGGCUAACUACGUGCCAGCAGCCGCGGUAAUACGUAGGGGGCAAGCGUUAUCCGGAUUUACUGGGUGUAAAGGGAGCGUAGACGGUUUGGCAAGUCUGAAGUGAAAUGCGGGGGCUCAACUCCUGAACUGCUUUAGAAACUGUCGAACUAGAGUGCAGGAGAGGUAAGUGGAAUUCCUAGUGUAGCGGUGAAAUGCGUAGAUAUUAGGAGGAACACCAGUGGCGAAGGCGGCUUACUGGACUGUAACUGACGUUGAGGCUCGAAAGCGUGGGGAGCAAACAGGAUUAGAUACCCUGGUA
rnacentral:rRNA from 1 species